rnacentral:rRNA from 1 species
UACGUAGGUGGCAAGCGUUGUCCGGAUUUAUUGGGUUUAAAGGGUGCGUAGGCGGCCCUGUAAGUCAGUGCUGAAAUACCCCGGCUUAACCGGGGGGGUGGCAUUGAUACUGCAGGGCUUGAGUACAGAUGAGGUAGGCGGAAUUGACGGUGUAGCGGUGAAAUGCAUAGAUAUCAGGAGGAACACCUAUUGCGAAGGCAGCUCGCUGGGACGUUACUGACGCUGAGACGCGAAAGCGUGGGGAGCAAACAGG